AGAGGGAGAGAGAGAGUCUACAAGCAAGAUUGGCUCUACGGUCUAUUCGAUUGAUCAUCUCAAUGCAAUCAAUUACUUGUCUUCCCAAAUUUCAAACUUGGGGAAAGAGAUGACAUUGAUCAAGGCCAUGCUAGAGAGUGCCUCUUUUAUUGCACCAAGUCUUCCCUCCCACAUUCACUACUACAAAAAUGGUUAAAGGAACCUAUAAUAAAUGACUUGUUGAUUAAUUCAACGGCUCUCUUCAAUAUAUUAGAUCUGAUAUUAGUGAUAACGGGUCUCUUAUGUAUCAAAGGACCCGCAAAAAGAUGGAGGGAAAAAAAAAAAGAGAUCCAUAAUUGACUUAACAGGUUUCUUAUAUGUGUAAUGGCUCACCACUUAAAGGAUUGAUAACAAAACCCUAUUCUUUCUCUUUUUAUUCCCUAUUUCAAUUCUGAUCACAAUUCAUCCUCUUCACGCCGCUUUCCUUCUCUAAAAAUGAUAACAGCUUUCUCUAUCUACAACAAUGGGUUCUCCAUUACAAUCCUAGAGCCGCUUUAUUUCUCUCUCUUCUGGGUCCUUCCCUUUCUGGGUUUCUCAUUCCUCUUUUUGUUCCGGCGUUUCGCGGCUUCUCGCUGGUGGUGUAGUGGUGUGAGGUGUCCACCUCUGAAAACAAUUUCAGAUCAUAAAACAUCAAAAACAAAAAUCAUGGGUUAAUAACAAUGGUGUUGAAGUUUCUGAACAAGGAUGGCAUGCUGGAAGCCUUCGAAACAUUGAAAACGUUUGGAAAGCCGAGCAAAAACACGAACAAGAACAACGCAAAUUAGAGGAGCUUCGCAAGCAGAUUCUUGAGGAGAGAGAAUGCGAUGAAUUCCGUGUUCUUCAAGAGCAAGCUGGCCUUACCCCGAGGCAAGAAAGAUGGAAAUGUUUGUUGAUUUAUUAAAAUGUAAAAUUUGGGGCUUUUCUAUUCUAAUUUUUUUGUGGUCCAUAUGUUGUGAACUAUCUUUGAUUUUAUUAUUUCUGUUCCACCCUCUCUUAUCUAGAUAUUACCUGUUGGCUGUCGCCUUUUCUUUUCAAUUCUUUGUGGAUUGCGUGCCUUUCUUUGGUUGUUGCUCUUUAAUUUUUCUUUUUUCUCCCACCAAAGGUUGCUGUAUAUUUUAGGAAUAUCAUUUUCUACAGUUGGUUCUGCAUCUUUCCAGAAUUUUGUUAAUGGACUCUGCUUCAUAUUUUUAGCUGAACAAUCUUGAGAAAAUUUUGCUCGUAUAAAGAUAUAUUGGACCAUCUUCUCAUCUCUCUUUUGGGACAUUCUGUUUUGAUAAAAUUUGAUUGAUUGAUCUUACAUAAGGUUUUAGUUCCAUUAUUCAUGAGUAUUUAUUCGUUUAUAUGGAUUCUCAAUUAUAACAUUCAUUAUUUAUAAUUUAAACAAUUUUUUUGUUGGGAUUUUAUGUUCGUUGAUUUUUAUUUUUUUUUAUCAUCUGCUUGAUGUCAUUACAAUCAAACAAAGAAGGUAGCAAAUGGAGCAUGUACUCAAGUCUAAUUAUGUAAUUGUAAUUGUAAAUUUCAAUAAAUUUAAACAAUUUUUUUGUUGGGAUUUUAUGUUCGUUGAUUUUUUUUUUUUUUAUCUCAUCAAUUUGAAGUGUAAUUUGCAUGUUACAUACAAAUUAAGUAUACAAAUUACUAAUACCAAUUUAUAAUUUA